rnacentral:rRNA from 1 species
UACGUAUGGUGCAAGCGUUAUCCGGAUUUACUGGGCGUAAAGGGAGCGCAGGCGGCGCGCCAAGUCUGAUGUGAAACCCCGGGGCUCAACCCCGGGCAUGCAUUGGAAACUGGCGGGCUGGAGUGCCGGAGAGGUAAGCGGAAUUCCUAGUGUAGCGGUGAAAUGCGUAGAUAUUAGGAGGAACACCAGUGGCGAAGGCGGCUUACUGGACGGCAACUGACGCUGAGGCUCGAAAGCAUGGGGAGCAAACAGG